rnacentral:lncRNA from 1 species
CAUGGGUCUACUUCCAGAUUCAUAUCUUCCUGAGCCACUGUGGCAUCGGCUCAUGAAGUUACACAGCUGGCUUCACAUUUCCUCAUUGCUUUUUGCACCAAGAGAGUUCUCUCACUUUGUUGUGUGAGUUCUUAAGGAUCUUGGUCUGAGUGGAUUAUCCUGAUUACCCAGAUGGGACCUAAAUGCCAUUACAAGUGACCUCAUAAGAAAGAGACAGAAGGAGAAUAGGCACCACACACACACAGGAGAAGGCAAUAUGAAGAUGGAGGCAGAGAUUGCAGUGAUGCGGCCAUAAGCCAAAGAAUGCAACAGCCCCCAGAAGCCGGAAGAGGCAAGGAAAGGAUGCUCCCCUGGAACCUCCAAAAGGAACAGCCCUGCUGACACCCUGAGGUCUGACUUCUGACCUCCAAAACUGUAAGAGAAUAAAUGUCUAUUGUUUUAAACCAUCAAGUUUGUGGUAAUUUGUUACAGCACCCACAGGAAACUAAUACACCUGCUAAGC